GUGUCAGUGAUGAGAACUUACGGUCUUGAAGAGAGAUGAUGACUUAAAAAUGAUGCUUAUUAUGUUCGUGCUGAGGCCC